UCAGAUAUCAACAGAUUCGCCGGUUUCCUGAACUGGUGAACAAAUACAAAAUAUAUAAUGAGUACAGUAAGGCUCGGCCUGCUAAUUAUAAAAGUUUGAGUGAGAAAAGGGGAAAGUCAUUGAAUAGUGGAAAGUUGUAUAGUGUUCCAGCUGACAAAGGGAAACAAAAAAUUUCAUAUGGUAGAAGGCCAAGUGUGGGAGGGGCUUCUGCUCCUAUCAAGUGCUACAAGUGUGGUGGUGCAGGACAU
rnacentral:lncRNA from 1 species